rnacentral:rRNA from 1 species
UACGAAGGGGGCUAGCGUUGUUCGGAAUCACUGGGCGUAAAGCGCACGUAGGCGGAUCGUUAAGUCGGGGGUGAAAUCCCGAGGCUCAACCUCGGAACUGCCUUCGAUACUGGCGAUCUUUGAGUCCGGGAGAGGUGAGUGGAACUCCGAGUGUAGAGGUGAAAUUCGUAGAUAUUCGGAAGAACACCAGUGGCGAAGGCGGCUCACUGGCCCGGUACUGACGCUGAGGUGCGAAAGCGUGGGGAGCGAACAGG